rnacentral:rRNA from 1 species
GUGAAGCCCCCCUCAAGAUGAGAUAUCCAGACUCGAAAGAGUGAGAGACCCCUUAGAGACGAUGAGGUAGAUAGGGCAGAGAUGGAAGCACAGUGAUGUGUGGAGUUGACUGUUACUAAUCGGUCGAAAGCUUGACCUUA